ensembl:lncRNA
GGCAUGACGUUGAUUGAGACAUACCAUUUGAAUAUGUCUUAUCAAAUAUGAAAUUCAACAUAAUUUCAACCACCCAAUAUUUCUAUGUAGAAAUGUCAACGUAAUUUCAACAUAUUCAUAGUUCUGAUGAUUUUGUUGAAUUAGUUUUAUGUAAAAACCUGUUAGUCAGGUUAAGUCAUUGUAUUUAAGUUGAAGUUUUAUGUUAAUUUCAAUGUUGUCACCAAUAUGAAAUGUCAUGUGGUAUAUUCAGAGCAACUCAACUUGGUCUCAGAGCAUUUCGCAUUACUCAUUUAGUAUGAUAUGUUACGUUUGGCAUGGUUACAAAAGACAGACGGUUGCUUUUUUUUUACCCCCUUUUCUCCCCAAUUUCGUGGUAUCCAAUUGCUAGUGGUUACUAUCUUGUCUCAUCGCUACAACUCCCGUACAGGCUCAGGAGAGACGAAGGUCGAAAGCCAUGCGAAAGCCAUGCAUCCUCCGAAACACAACCCAACCAAGCCGCACUGCUUCUUAACAGUGUCCUGGCAACCUGGUUAGCGUGCACUGUGUUUCCUCUGACACAUUGGUGUGUCUGGCUCCUGGGUUGGAUGCGCACUGUGUUAAGAAGCAGUGUGGCAUGAGUGUGUUUUCGGAGGACACAUGACUUUCAACCUUUGUCUCUCCUGAGCCUAUACGGGAGCUGUGGCGAUGAGACAAGAUAGUAACUACAAACAAUUGGGGAGAAAAAGGGGGUAAAAAAAAUCAAAUAAAUACAUAUCAGUAAUUAGUGAUUAGUAAUGGCGCUGGAGGACAUGGCUGCCAUUUUAGCCAAAUGUGCUGUUUUGUUUGUUUUUCACGUUGAUUGUAACUUAUUUUAUACAUAAUGUUUCUGUCACCAUCUCUUAUGACUGAAAAGUGCUUCUGGAUAUCAGAACAGCGAUUACUCACCUCGAACUGGAUGAAGAUUUUUUUCUCGGACGCGAAGAAUUUACUCCAGAUACCGGACCAGGGCCAAGUCCCUUUAAUUCGCAUGUAGAAAAUAUGCCAAUACAGGGGACAUAGGUCCGGUUGUCUUGAUAGAAUUCGUCGACGAGUGGGUAACCCGCCUCUACCAUCCGUCCUAUUGGCCGACGUGCAAACAUUGAAGAAUAAACUGGAUGAGCUCUAUUCAAGACUAUCUUACCAAUGGGACAUUAACUGUAAUGUCUUAUGUUUCACCGAGUCGUGGCUGAACGACAACAUGGAUAAUAUACAGUUCGCAGUUUUUUCUGUGCAUUGGCAAGACAGAAUAGCUGUUAUUUGUAAACAGCUUCAAGUUUCGACAGGCAGGCUCAGGGCAGGCAGAAUGGUCAAAUACCAGGAAAGCUAGAAAACAGGAACUACCAACAGAAAGGCGCACGGGGAAAAACAGCCGAGAGGCUUGACGAAACAAAACGAACUGGCAACAGACAGAGAACACAGGUAUAAAUACACUGGGGAUAAUGAGGAAGAUGGGCGACACCUGGAGGGGUGGAGACAAGCACAAAGAGAGGUGAAACAGAUCAGGGUGUGACACUGAGUGUGGUUAUAUUUCUCCAGGCCCAUCCCUCAGCUUUUUACCAAAACAGAGGCGGGGCCACGGUUUGUUAUUAUUUCCUCUGUGGAUUUGCCCUUCAAACAGCUGCAUAUUAUCAAGGUAUCAAAGUGUAGGUCUAUUCCAUGAGCGCAGCAUUUAUUUUUCAACUCGAAUCAAUGAGCCCAAUCAGUCCCCCAUGAAAACAAAAUCAUAAACAACAGAGUAGGGCUGGCUAAUGAGUCAUUAGUUUUGGGGUUAUGGCAGUUAAGCCACUGUUCCCCGGGCACCGAAGAUGUGGAUGUUGAUUAAUACAUGCUUUGGUAGGAGUGUUAGGUCAGUAACUGAAAGGUUGCUGGAUUGAAUCGCAGAGGUGUGACGUAGAAGUCCGUCACUGGCCGCGGGCAGCAUUUGGUUCUUUAACGCACACACAUAUUCAUCACUCCUCCCUGCGCCAUUAUAUCAUAAGUUAACAAUGUGGGUCGACACACAAUUUAACUUCUG